rnacentral:lncRNA from 1 species
CAGCUUCAUACUUCUAUAAUAUGUUUAUUGUCAAUGUAAGCUAAAUAUUAUACUCCCUCUCUUCCGGCAUGUUAGGCUCAUCUCAAAAAUCCCUAUAACCAAGGUGCGUGAUUACGAAAAAUCUGGUUAUAAAUUGCGCCAACCAUGAAGCUGCUUUCCCAUUUAAUAAUUUCCUUACUAACCGCACCGAAUCUGGCCAGACAAGCAAGUUAAUCACGUGAUUAGUGUGAAACCGUUGCAUGCAGCAUGCAGGCCAAUAAUGAAAUGAAAAGUCACCGAUUCAAUUAAUUAUGCUGUCAAAUGAGGAGUUACCGAUUCAAUGAGUACUCCUUAACUCCAAUCUGAGCCUAGCAAACUGGAACAACGAAAGAUUGAGAUGGGCCUAACAUAUUGGAUCAGAGGGAGUAGUAUAUAAAUAGUUACUGAUGAUAACCUUUUUGCUGUGCUGGUUGAAUGGCAGUAUGGCUGAGCAAGUCACUUAGAUAUUUUAUAGCUAUCGGAAUAUUCUAACACUUUAGCUGCACAAUUUAGUUAUUCUGGUCUGUUCAAUGAAUUAUGUCACAUAUGAUAAGUUAGCUAUAUUCUGAGUAUCUUGUAUUUCUUUAUACUUCAGCUUGACAUUUCUUGUUCGCGACAAUUAGAACGUAGAGUUUACUUUGCGUCUAUAUCUUAUUCAUUCGAUAUUGAGUUAUCUUUUAUGUUCCCAUUAAACUAUGUCAAUGCUUUCUGUCUACUAGCUAAAUGCACGUGCUUUUCUACGAAAUUAAAAAUAUGUAUUAUGAACGAGUUGUUUAAAUGUUUGUGACUCAUGUUUUUCAAAUUUUGUGUUACGAAUUCUCUAAAAUAUUUCUUUGAAAAACAAUUAUCUGAAAACAUCAUCAAACCCAAUCAAUCAUAGUCAAAAGAUCAUGGUAUGUAUAUCUACCGCAGAGAAUGAGUGACAGUUAAAUGAUUCGGUAGCAAUCGAGGGAGUAGACUUGUUGGAAUGAACGGACGGCCGCCAACUCAGA